rnacentral:lncRNA from 1 species
AUACAUCUUAGUGCUUCCGAGAUAGAUGACAAACUUUAAGUUACGAGCAUUUGUCAUGAUGUCCCUUUUCAGCUCACUAUCAUAUGGAACACACACCUUAUUCUGAAAUCUAAGCAAUCUAUCGGCAGAUACUCAAAAUUCUGAAUUUACUCCCUAUUCUGCAUCUUUCUUGAGGGCUAUUAGGGUGGAAUCGGCGGAUUGGACUUCUUUUAUUCUCUGAAUCAACUCAAGUUGAACUGUUAGGUGGGUCAAACAUAUAACUCUCUUCAGGUCCUGAAGUCAUACCUGUUGUGCGACCCCUAUUACUCUGCAUUUUGAAACCAUUAGGUGAGUUAAUAUACCUACACUUUUUCUGCUGAGUGC